rnacentral:rRNA from 1 species
AUGGUGUUUGCACCCCAGGCAGCCUCCUCGAUGGGAUCGUCUUCGCCGCCGCCGUUUCACUUCGGUCAUCUCAUCACCAUCAAGCUCUCCGCAGACAACUACAUCUUCUGGCGUGCGCAGGUUCUCCCGCUCUUGGGGAGUCACUACCUGCUAGGCUACGUCGACGGAUCGCUUCCCUGCCCACCCGCGCUGGUAGACAGCGUGCACGGUCCGGUCUACAAUCCGGCCCAUCGCGUCUGGACGGGGCAGGACCAGGCGAACCUCUCCUCCAUCCAGGGGUCGCUCUCGCCAGCAGUUGCCGGCCUUGUUGUCUUCGCGAAGACGUCUCAUGAGGCCUGGACCAUCCUUGAGCGCACCUUUGCAGCGCAGUCCCAGGCUCGUGUCUCUGCACUCCGUCGUCAGCUUGGAGAGUGUCAGAAGCUUGACUCCACGGCCACUGAGUUCUACAGCAAGGUCAAGGGCCUUGCCGACACAUUGGCCUCCAUUGGACAGCCCCUCACCGACUCCGAGUUCAACUCGUUUAUUGUCAAUGGUCUUGAUGAGGAGUAUGAUGCCUUAGUCAAGAUCAUCAACGAGCGGGGUAACUCGACACCCAUGUUGGCACACGAGGUUUUCUCUCGGCUUCUUCUCACUGAGCAACGGGUCGAGACUCGCCGCACCAGGGGCACUGGCUCUCUCUCGGCCAACGUCGCCACCAAGGGUGGCCGCUCUUCUUCAUCACCCCGGUCUCCCUUGGGGCUGCCACCGUCGCCCGCCUCGGCCCCCCCACCUACUGCGACCUUACCGGGGGCUGGCGGUCCACGUGUGUGUCAGCUUUGUGGCCGCGAUGGGCACUGGGCCUCCAAGUGUCAUAAGCGCUUCCAGCGAAGCUUCCUUGGUCUUGGCAAUGACGGCAAAGAUACACGCAACAAUGCCCGUCAGGUCGCCAUGGCUGAUCGUCCCGCGCCGCAGAAGCACCAGGGACACACUCAGUCCUACUCCAUCGAUCCACACUGGUACAUGGACUCUAGGGCGACAGAGCAUCUGACCAGCGAGAUGGGGAAGCUUCACACUCGUGAACCCUAUCAUGGCUCCGACAAGAUCCACACCGCCAAUGGAGCAGGUAUGCACAUCUCUCAUAUUGGUCAAGCAUCUCUUCUCACUAGACAUGCCAAUAGGAGUCUUCAGCUUCGCAAUGUUCUUCGCGUUCCAUCUGUGACCCGCAAUCUUCUUUCAGUUCCUAAACUCACACGUGAUAAUAAUGUGCUUUGUGAAUUUCACCCUUUUGAUCUUUUUAUUAAGGAUCGGGGCACGAGGGACAUUCUUCUUAGUGGGCGGUUGUGCCAGGGCCUCUACCGUCUGGAGCAUCCUGGCGUCGCUCGCGUUUUCAGUGGAGUUCGGGUCUCUCCGUCACAGUGGCAUGCUCGUCUUGGUCACCCGGCCACACCUAUUGUCCGUCAUAUUUUGCGUCGUCAUGAGCUUCCUAGUUUGUCUAGUAAUAAAGAUGUAGCAGUGUGUGAUGCUUGUCAGCAGGGGAAGAGUCAUCAACUUCCUUUUUCGGAGUCCAGUCGUGAGGUGAAACAUCCGUUAGAACUUGUGUUUUCAGAUGUAUGGGGUCCUGCUCAGACUUCUGUCAGUGGUCAUAAUUACUAUAUCAGUUUCGUUGAUGCUUAUAGUCGCUUUACCUGGCUUUACCUUAUUAAACGCAAAUCUGAUGUGUUUGCUAUUUUUGUUCAGUUUCAAAAACAUGUUGAACGUCUUCUCAAGCACAAAAUUGUUCAUGUCCAAUCGGACUGGGGGGGCGAGUAUCGCAACCUCAACUCCUUCUUUCAGUCGCUUGGGAUAGCUCAUCGUUUAGCAUGUCCACAUACACAUCAGCAGAAUGGUUCAGUCGAACGUAAGCAUUGUCAUAUUGUUGAAGCUGGUCUUACUCUUUUGGCCCAUGCAUCUGUUCCGUUUCGGUUUUGGAGUGAUGCUUUCACCACUGCAUGCUUUCUCAUCAACCGUACUCCUACUCGUGUUUUAAACAUGAAGACUCCCAUUGAGGUUCUCCUUAAUGAACAACCUGAUUAUACCUUUCUCAAGGUAUUUGGGUGUGCUUGCUGGCCGCAUCUUCGUCCAUAUAACAAGCGCAAGCUUGAGUUUCGUUCUAAGAAGUGUGUUUUCCUUGGCUAUAGCUCUCUUCAUAAAGGUUACAAAUGUCUUCAUGUUCCCACUAAUCGUGUCUAUAUAUCUCGGGACGUCGUGUUUGAUGAGCAUGUUUUUCCCUUUGCCAACCUUCCUGUGUCCACUGUCGAACCACCAUCCCUGCAUUCAUCCUCUGUUGCUUCUGACCAAUUUGAUGAUGUUGCAUACUCUCCUUUGCUGUUACCUAACCAUGGUGCAGGAACCGGACGUGGAGCUCGUUUGGAGCUGUUGGAGGAUUCACCAUCAUCAUCGUCGUCUUCUGGUGGGCACGUCGAUCGCCCUAUGUUGCAUGGCAUCGAUUCGCGUGCCCAUGCAUGGUCACCCGACGAGCCCGUCGCGCCGAGCAUCUCCACUGCUCGGUCUGCUACGCCAGUGAUCGCCGAGUCUCCAGCGGCUCGGCCUUUUUCACCAGCGGCCGCCGAGUCGCCCGUGGCUCGGCCCGUCACGCCGUCUUCGCCCGCGGCUCGGGUCCUCACGUCGCCUUCAUCAGCGGAUCGGCCCGCGACACCGGCCGUGCCACGGCCCACUAUGCCGAGCUCGCCAUCGGCCCGGUCUGGGAUGCCGGAGUCGCCAGCUGCUUCGUCUGCUCUGCCGGUUUCGCCGGUGGGCCGGCCUUCUUCGCCGACUGAGUCCGAGGCUACCGUGCCUGGCUCCUCGUCACCGGCUGACUCAUCAACGUCGCCGUCCUCCAGCCCGUUGCAGGCUGCUCCGUCGACCUCGGUGGUUCCUGUGUCUCGACCACAUACACGCAGUCGCAGUGGCAUUUUCAAACCUAAGGAACGUACGGAUGGUACGGUUGCUUGGUUGGUUGCUUGUUUGGCUGCUGCUGUUGCGGAUCCAUCUUCUGAGCCUCGCUCAUAUCAGGCUGCCCUGCGCAUUCCACAUUGGCGAGAGGCUAUGGAGCAGGAGUUUCAUGCUCUUCUUCGUAACAAGACAUGGACUCUCGUUCCUCCACCACCACGGGUAAAUGUUAUUGACUCAAAAUGGGUAUUCAAAGUGAAGAAGCAUUCGGAUGGAUCUAUUGAGCGUUACAAAGCGCGACUUGUUGCUCGCGGUUUUCGGCAGCGUCAUGGUCUUGACUAUGAGGACACCUUCAGUCCUGUCGUCAAGCCUACCACUAUUCGGCUUCUUCUCUCCAUUGCUGUUUCUCGUGGUUGGUCACUUCGUCAACUUGAUGUGCAGAAUGCCUUUCUACAUGGAUUUUUGGAGGAAGAGGUUUAUAUGAAACAGCCGCCUGGUUUCUCUGAUCCUGAUCGUCCUGACUAUAUCUGUCGUCUUUCCAAAGCACUAUAUGGUUUGAAGCAAGCUCCUCGUGCCUGGCAUGCCCGCCUUGCCUCUGCCCUUUGUGCUCAUGGGUUUGUGCCGUCCACUGCUGACACUUCAUUAUUUCUUCUACAGAAGCCAGAAGUCACUAUGUAUCUUUUGGUAUAUGUCGAUGAUAUUAUCCUUGUCAGCUCUUCUCAGUAUGCUGCUGAUGCUCUUGUCUGCUCUCUUGGUGCUGAUUUUGCGGUCAAAGAUCUUGGGAAGCUUCACUACUUUCUUGGAGUUGAGGUCACUUCUCGUGCUACUGGUCUUGUCCUUACGCAGAAGAAGUAUUCCUUGGAGUUGUUACAAAAAGCCGGCAUGCUGAAGUGCAAACCGACCACCACACCCAUGUCGUCUACCGACAAGAUAACAGCUGUUGAUGGUGAGCUUUUGUCUCCUGCGGAUGCCACAGAGUACAGAAGCAUUGUUGGUGGACUUCAGUACUUGACGAUCACGAGACCAGAUAUCUCUUAUGCUGUUAACAGGGUUUGUCAGUAUCUUCAGGCUCCCAGAGAUACUCAUUGGGCUGCUGUUAAACGCAUUCUUCGUUAUGUUCAGUUCACUCUGACUUUUGGUAUGCAUAUUCGGCCGACUUCCUCUCGGGUCCUUUCGGCCUUCUCUGAUGCAGAUUGGGCUGGUAGCCCAGAUGACAGGCGAUCCACGGGGGGUUAUGCAAUAUUCUUUGGCUCUAAUUUGAUCGCCUGGAGUGCUCGGAAACAGGCUACUGUGUCACGUAGCAGUACUGAAGCUGAGUACAAGGCUGUGGCUAAUGCUACUGCAGAGAUUAUUUGGGUGCAGUCUUUGCUUCAGGAGUUGGGUUUGUCUCAACCACAGCCUCCUAUUCUUUGGUGUGAUAACAUCGGUGCUACAUACCUUUCUGCAAAUCCAGAAUUUCAUGCCCGAACGAAACACAUUGAAGUUGACUAUCACUUUGUACGGGAACGUGUAUCACAGAAGCAACUCCAGAUCAAGUUUAUCUCGUCUAAGGAUCAACUUGCAGACAUCUUCACUAAGCCUUUACCACUGCCACAGUUUGAGGCUUGUAGGCGCAAUCUUACCCUUCUCAGUUCUUUAGAAAGUGGCUAA